GCCGGGCCGGGCGAGCCGGACCGGGCCGGGCGUGCCGGACCGCGGCGGGCGGAGCGCGGCCCCGCGCCGGGCGCGCGCAUGCCCGGCGCGGCCCCGUGAAGCUGUAGAUACAACAAUGAGCCGCAGCUGCCCCAUCUCCGGCGGCAGGCACUGAUUGCUUCCUGGAGCAGGAGGACAUCUGCUACGAAUCUCAGCUGAACACAAACCAUACAAUAUGUAUUGUAAUCUACCUGGUUGUUCUUAACAGGCAUCGAAUAAACAGAGUCUUGGAACAUCAAAUUCCAAGGCCAGACAUUAAAAUAAAGGAAUGGCAGAGUCGCUUUAGCCAUAGACAGCUUAAAAAAAAAAAUAAAAGAAGUCAUAAUAAAAACUCAGCUCUUAGUAUGA